CUCUGCAGUCAUGUGGCUCCGUCGCAUCUGCAAUCUGCAUUCCUGCUCACUCCAGUCUAAAGGGUAGUCUUACCUUCGUUCUGAGGGUCACUCUCCAUUGGUCCUGCAAGUCAACUACAGGCAAAGGUGGGAUUCUAGAAAAAACAGUCACAGCUGGCAGGUGUGAACACAAAGAAAGAAGAGGCUCUUCCUGUACCUCACCAUCCACACAGCCUGCUGCAGCACACAGUUCUCUCCGGACACGUUCGUUUCCUGGGGAGGGGGCGGUACCGGCUGGAGAGCUGGGCGGAGGGAAGGCAGGUGAUCCCGGGGAGCUCACUUCAGGGCCUUUACAGAGCAGCGCUAUUUGUCUGUAGCUGCAAGAACUCUACCACGUUUUCUUCAAGCAGCCCCAAGAACAAAAAUACAAAUGCGUCUGCUCAGCGCGAAUGGACUGGAAUGCUGCAGUUCACUAUUAUUCUAUAAUUAAAUGAAAUGGCACUGCAGGAAGGGAAAUGUAGAGUACUGUCACAAAACUCCAAAGUAGCAAUAUUUUCAGCAGCGGGUAAGUCACUAUUCUCCGGGAAUAAACACGGCCCAAGGCAGAAGAUUGUGUGUGGUCACUUCACAUGGAAUUGCUUUCAGUGGGGCUGAACGCAUCCUCUCACUGAGUUUCUUUCUAACUCUGAAGGUGGUGUUUCCUGACACGCUGUUCCCGGAGUCAUCAAGUUAUCCAUGUAUGAUAUUCAGAAUAAAGUCACCAAUGGUAUUUCAAUUCCCAGCUGACCCACCAAGCACAACUGAGGGCAAAUCCUGUAUCUUCUCAAAUAUCUUUGUGUGCGUAAGUCACACCAAGUAUCUAACGUAUGGUGAUACUGAAUUAUGACUGCUGAAUUAGAUAAUUAUAAUGUCGCCUUGGGGUGAAUAAAUGAGUUACUAUUUACUGAGUGACUGCGUAACCCUGAGCAGCCCCGUGAUGCAGAUGUCAUGAUCCCCACUUCACAGAUGAGUCAACUGAGGUUUGCAAAGCACAAGCAACUUGGUGAGUUCUCCGUCAAGGUCAGCAGCCACAGCAGGCCUCCCCAGUAAGGCCCUGCUGCUCACUGCAUGGAGCCUUCAGCGAUGCCCCAGCCCUAUCUCAGGGUCCCAUGGCUGGGGCCCUGCAGCUCAGAGACAUGGGGACCAGGGGAGGGAGUUCCUCAGUCCCCUUUAUGCAGAGCUGGGCUCAGGCUCAGUGUUUUGCCCCAACUCUUCCGGCAGGUAUGUCUCCAUGUGGUGCAUCAGGGCUGCUGGGCCAAGUCCCCCUCCCACACUGGCCACACUGUCCCCACCACGAAGUGCUCCUUUCCCUGCAGCUACCCUCUGAACAGGUCCCACUUCGACAGUGUGGCCAAGAGCACCUGAACCUCUACAAUUGCUGGCUGCGCACCAGGGGAGGCAGCGCGGUGCUGGGCUAGGGGUGGAGGUGUCACUGGGAGGGGUUCUGUGUGGUUUUAUCUGAAACUACAGUCUCUUGUAACAUUCCACAUCUGUUCACGACAGUGGCAGCUCUGCGGCAACCCGGCAACGCCCACUAGGCCGGCUCCCGAGCCAGGGGCUCACAGUCGAUCAGCACAGAGGAGCCUGGAGUCCUGGCUGUCCCCGAGCCGGACCAGCUGGACCACCCCGGAGGAGACGCUGACUUCUCAUAAGGGCCUCCCCGCCCUUCUCCAGAGCAUGGCAGAGUCCCUGGCUCCAUCUGGUGCUUCUUUAUGAUCAAGUUUGUCUUUCAGUGGGUACAUCACGCUGCAACGGAACUGCUUGCUCUUACUACUUUGAAAGCCUGUACUUUUUAGGCAUAACGUAAGAGUCUGAAGUAAUCAGAGCUUGAAUUUUCAGAUGAACAAAUAAAACUACGUGUUCACACAGAAUGUUUACCUAUAUGACUAUUCAGAAUUAAUAUUAAGCCCACCACGCACCACUCUUCCGCUGACAGCGAUAUGCAUACCUUAUGGGGACCCGUGGCAGCAGCUGAAGCCCUUUGUGACUGUGGAGGCCAGGGCACUGACUGCACUGACUCAGGAACUUUCCGUCAGUCUGCCAGCUCCCCUCAGCCUUGUCCACAGUCCACCAGGGCCACGUGUCCUACAGGUGACUGGAGUGGAUGUCUUCUGAUUAUUCUAACAAACGUCAGUAUUUCCAAUAUUAGAAAUUGGGUGAAGGGGAUCACAAUGCAGCUUUAAAAAAUAAAGAAUGGUUUUUAAAAUCAAAGAUUAUAUUGUAAUGUAGCAAUAUUAAUUUUUGUGAACUUUGAGGAUUUCAGAGUUCGAAGAGUUUUUCUGGUUAUUAUGAUCUCAAAAAGGAACAUCUAGUGAAU